UUUACAGAGAGUUUGAUCCUGGCUCAGGAUGAACGCUGGCGGCGUGCUUAACACAUGCAAGUCGAACGGGAAACCUUUUAUUGAAGCUUCGGCAGAUUUAGCUGGUUUCUAGUGGCGGACGGGUGAGUAACGCGUGGGUAACCUGCCUUGUACAGGGGGAUAACAGUCAGAAAUGACUGCUAAUACCGCAUAAGCGCACAGGACCGCAUGGUCCAGUGUGAAAAACUCCGG
rnacentral:rRNA from 1 species